AUUAAUUUCAUUCUUUGUGUAGGUGUAGGCUACUACAAUGGAAGAAAAUGUAGAUGAUCAUGAUGGACAGGAACAAUCUGGUGACAGGGAUGUCUCCACUUCCCAAGGAAAGUCAUCUACAAGAAAGAGACGAGGCCCAUCUAAAGCAGUCGAAACAACUACACCCAUGUUCCUCAAAUUUGAUGAGUUUGACAUGCCUAUUAGAAAGUGGGAAUCUGCUUAUGGGAAGCAAAUUGGUGAUUGUGCUCAAAGAGUUAACAUUAAUGUGAAGGGAUAUCCGAAGUAUGAUAAAGUUCAAAAGCAAAACUUGUGGGAGGAGAGUAAGCGGAAGUUCCACAUUGAUGAUCCCAAGGGUAUUAAAGAGAAGAAGUUCCACGAAACUGUUGGUGCUAGAUUUAGGAAGCACAAGUCUUGGUUAAUUUCACGAUUCAUUACUAAGGAAACAUCACCUCCGCCUGACUCACCAAGUGCAAACAUUAAGCCCUAGGAGCUUUAUGAAGGUUACAUCACAGAAGAGCAAUGGAAAGAGUUUGAGACAUAUUGCAAUACAGAUGAAUUUAAGGCUUUGAGUGAAAAAGGCAAGGAAAAUGCAAAGAAUAAUAAGCAUCGCCACCAUCUAGGCUCCAAGAGUUAUGAGAGGGCUCGAUUUGAUUGGAGUAAGACCAACAAAAUUCCAGCAGAAUCUUCAACCUCAAGCACAACAGAUUCCACGACAAACAGUGUAAUGAGUGAAAAGCUUAAAAACCAAUCUCUUUGGUGGAUUUUGGCCCGUCAAACUCGUCGUGCAGAUGGAUCGUCGGCUAUAGACCCGAAGAAUGCCUAAACCUAGCAAAUAGCCAGUGCUAUUUUGGAAAACUUGCAAAAGAAUGUUGAAGGAAACGAUUCAAGUGAAGGUAUUGGUAUGGAUGCCCUCAACAAGGCUUUAGUAAAAAAGGAUCACCGCGGGCAUGUAAAAGGACUAGGAAGGUGUGUGGUUGGAGUUAGUCACACACAAGUAUUUGGGAAGGGACAUAGAAAGGGUAAAUCAUCCGGCCACGGUGGAUGCUCAUUGGAAGAGUUAGAAUCAAUGAAAGCUACCCUAACUCAAGAAUUUGGGGCGAGGCUAGAAGAAAGGUUGAAGUGAAGCUUCAAGAGAGGAUUCAAGAGAGGUUGGAUCAAUGUGUGGCAAUGGAGGUGAAAGCUUAUCUCGCCAAUUUACUACCACAUAUGACCGGUGACGUGGAGGCAUUUCAAGGAAUGCAAGUGAUGACGACCAUGGAGGCAACACAAAGCACUCGUGUAAUAGAGGUAGCCACUAAAUGUCGCCUUGCAUUGAAAGAUGAGUACAAUCAAAAUUUAGUGGUUGUGGCAGAUGGAACGGUAUAUCCUGUUACCGGUGAAGUUACUCACAACCUGGCCUGAAGAUGUUACCCGAUCAUUACAGGGUUAGUGUGGACAACCCUUAUCCCGAUUGUGCCCUCCUCGAUAUACCGGUACUGUCUGCCGAUGGUGUGACUAAGUUGGGUAAAGCCAAGUCUGCCUUUGUACUAUGGCCUGUUGACAUGGUUUAUUUUGAUGAAGAGCUAUAUUCUCCUGCUAUUGACAUUAAAUUCCAUCAUUUUUGUAUAUUUUAUCUGGACUAAUAUUCACCUUUUUAUAAAGGUUUCACAAUCGCCCAAAAAGAAGCAUAGAUCUACCCAAAGCAAAGAAGGGGACGAUAAUUGUGGCGUUAAAUCAAGGCAAUCUACCAUCAAAUCCACAAAAUUCCAACCACUUGAAGAUAAAAUUGUUGAGACUUUUGGCGAGGGGUGUGAGUUGUUGUAUUGGUUAAUGAGUUCUGAUGAUGCAAAGUAUGAUACAACAUUGGUACUUUUAAAGGCCUCAAUGUUUAAUUUUGACAGCGACAAACAAAUUUGGGUAACUGCUACCGAUGUACGUGAAUUUCUAAGAGGAGCGUGGGCUAAUGUUCAUUGAUCCAUGUUUAUAUCAUGUAGAUUACUUAAUAAUCCUUUACUUUGGUUGUUUUAUUUACUAUAGUAAUAUUUUUACUGCUAUAAUGUUGAUUUUUUCUUUGUUUUAUGACUUUAUCAUGUAGGUACUUAGUAGACAAUGUCAUCGACCUUUUCAACAAAACUGAGAUCACAUUCUUUUGUCCCCAACUCAUUUCUGAAUCUUCAAUUGAGAAUGAUUACCUUGAAACUUAUGUGUAUGUGAAGAAUGCAUUUUUGCAUGAAUUAGAUAAGGCGGGUAAAAGUUGCAAA